ensembl:lncRNA
AACUGAAGCGUGGUCAAGCGCCUCUAGCGUCACUGACAUGAGAUGUUUAUCGCUUUGAAAUCACGUUCAAGAAGUCUCAUUCAGCACACAUCGCGAUACUUGCCAUCAGUUUACAAGAGCCGCAGGUUGGGUGAGUUAUACAGUCUAUGCUGAAAAGACAUAAAGGAAGCAGUCACCCCAGUCGUGUUUGUGGAGAGGUAUUCCUUCAGAAAUGGAGAAGACAGAAAGCUGCAGAGGCAGGAUUGUUUGCACAUAACACUGUAGAUCUCCGUCAUGCACAAGGACUCACCUAUUUAACUCUUUAUCCCCCCCGCCACACACACACAGAAAUGGUUCCUGGAUCAGUGACUUAAGACUUUGCAGUGAUUUGAUUUCUGCAGAAGAUGUAACUUUGUUUUAAUUAAGCUUAUAAUGAAUACAUUGUGACCUUCCAGCAACCCAUAUACUGUACUGUAUACAGAACCAGUGAUGACAACAAUAGUUAAAAAUAGUAUUUAUCCUGUUGAUAAAGCAUUGUGUUCUCUUUUUCAAGCUUCAUACAGUAAACUUUACUUCUGGUGCUUUUAUCAUAAAAAAGCAUCAGUUCUCAUCAGGAGUUUUAGUAAAGGACAUAUUCAUGCACAGCAAUCCCCUAGUUCCAG